CGACGAUGAGCACAAAAAUAUAAACUAUUGUAAAUAUUAAAUAAUUGUUAAAAUUAUAUUAUAUUCUUGACAGUUUUCAAAGUUAAACAAGGAAGAAAAAAUGUUAAUUAAUAGAAUAUUAACCUUAAAAGUAAUUCCAAGGAAAGUUGUUUCUUAUUCAGAAAUAACGAGACAACAAUUACACACUGCUAUUAAAUUGCAUUUAUCAAUUUCGUCAAGUUCAUCAGAUUCUUCUGAUUCAAGUUCUGAUUCAGACAAUGAACAAAAAUCAAAACUCCGAUUCUCGUCAAAAUCUGUUAAUUAUUUAAAAGGGCAAAAUAACGAUGACAAUUUUAAUGAAUUUAAGAAAUCAAGUGAUGAAAAAAAAUUGUCGAAAAUUGAUGUCGCAAUUCCUAAAAAACCACCAAGACCUCAAAAAAAUAUAAACUCUCCUCACUCUGAAGAAUUAAAAUUUGAAGAAAAUUUUGCCAAUGCAGCUAAAAAAGUAGCAGAAAAUUUAGGCGGAGAUAUUAAAAAAAUAGAAUCAGAUUUAUUAAACAGGCUUUUAAAACCAAGUGAAACAAAUGAUUCAUCAGAAUCUUCCGAAGAUAUAAGUGAUAUUUUAAAAGGAAUGAAAGUAGAUAAUUCGUAUAAUUUUCAACGAAAUAAAUUACAACGUGUACGUGCUGCUUCUACAAAAAUUGAUAAUCUUAAUGUUGAGUUUAAAGGAGAAUCAAUAAAUAGACGUUAUAGAGAUUUAAAAGGUGAACAAAUGAAUGAAACUAAUGUACAACUAGAACGAAUGAGUAUAUUUAAUGGACAAACUAAAAAGUUUGGAAUUUUGAAAAUACCAACAGACGAAUCACAAGUAUCCGAAUUGACAACUUGGUCACAUUUGGAGAAAAGAGAAUUUAAACUCUUGGAAUGUACACCACCAACUAACUAUUUUCAAGAAAUGAUUCAAUGGACAAAUGAAGGAAAAAUUUGGCAUUUUCCAAUUGAUAAUGAUCAAGGAAUAGUGGAAGAAAAAAAGGUACAUUUCUCUGAACAUGUUUUUAUGGAGCGUCAUUUGAAAGGAUGGUGUCCAAAACACGGUCCAAUUCGACAAUUUAUGGAAUUGGUGUGCGUUGGUCUUUCGAAAAAUGCAUUUAUGACAGUCGAUGAGAAAAUACAACACAUUAUGUGGUAUAAAGAUUACUUUGGUGAUAAACGAGAGUUACUAAAGGAACUUGGCGCACUUGAUAAUGAAAAUCCAUCUGUUUUGCCGAUACCAACAAACAAGAUUGAUUUAGGACCUCAUUAUUAAAUAUUCGCAGUGAUAAAAUAUAGGAUCAGUUGGGGUAAAUGGGGACAAAAUCGCUAUUUUUCACAAAUUACUAUUUUGUCUCGGAUUUAAAAAAAGUUUUUAAUGCAUUGAGCGAUAACUUGAAUUAUCUUGCUGCCAAUUGUCAAGACAAAAACAAAAACUAAUGGAAUGACCAGUGCCAAAUAUUUUGUCUCUCAAAAUGAUAAAAAAAAGUUAAUGUUUAAAUAAUUCACAAUGUCAGCUCUAAUAUAGUGGGAUAUUAUUAUUAUUAUUAUUAUUAUUUUUUUUUACUUUAUCAACUUCACCUCAAACUGCUUUUUGAGGGGUUUUUCGGGAAUAUUGAUUACGAACCUACAAUUACAUUUUCAAAAUCUGAUGUCUUUGUAUUAUUUAUAAUAUUAAUUUGGUCGAAAUUUCGUUUGUCCGAAAAAUCACUUAUCAUAAUAAAAUUUACUGCGAACUUGAAAA